rnacentral:misc_RNA from 1 species
GAUGAAGAACGUAGCGAAACGCGAUAGUUAAUGUGAAUUGCAGAAUUCAGUGAAUCAUCGAGUCUUUGAACGCACAUUGCGCCCUUCGGUAUUCCGGAGGGCAUGUCUGUUUGAGCGUCAUUUCAACACCUCGCUUUAAGCGGUAUUGAGUUGAGACUAUAAAUGAACUCAACUUUAAAGUUGAAUGUUGCAGACGAAUGGCUUGAUUAGCAUAGUAUAAUCUUUUGAUUUAUCCUGUUGUUCAUGACAUUCGUCUUGCCUACAAAUUUUUCUAAAGUUUGACCUCAAAUCAGAUAAGGAUACCCGCUGAACUUAAGCAUAUCAAUAAGCGGAGGA